UUCCCUCUUUCUUCUUGCCUCCUACAUGCAAGUCGAGCGAACAGAUGAGGAGCUUGCUCCUCUGACGUUAGCGGCGGACGGGUGAGUAACACGUGGAUAACCUACCUAUAAGACUGGGAUAACUUCGGGAAACCGGAGCUAAUACCGGAUAAUAUAUUGAACCGCAUGGUUCAAUAGUGAAAGACGGUUUUGCUGUCACUUAUAGAUGGAUCCGCGCCGCAUUAGCUAGUUGGUAAGGUAACGGCUUACCAAGGCAACGAUGCGUAGCCGACCUGAGAGGGUGAUCGGCCACACUGGAACUGAGACACGGUCCAGACUCCUACGGGAGGCAGCAGUAGGGAAUCUUCCGCAAUGGGCGAAAGCCUGACGGAGCAACGCCGCGUGAGUGAUGAAGGUCUUCGGAUCGUAAAACUCUGUUAUUAGGGAAGAACAAAUGUGUAAGUAACUAUGCACGUCUUGACGGUACCUAAUCAGAAAGCCACGGCUAACUACGUG
rnacentral:rRNA from 1 species